rnacentral:lncRNA from 1 species
AUUCAUGUCUAAACAAGUUUCAUUUGACAUUUCAAACAUCAAGAAUGAAGAAAAUAAAGUCAGAUGGAAACUUUCCAAAAAUAGAAAGUGACCUGUAAUUCAAAACUGCCAAAAAUGGAAAGUUUUUCACCUCAAAAUUACAUGUCCAAAAAUGCUUCAAAUGAAAUUUUGUUCAACAUGAAAGUUGUAGAUCUUGCUCUCACCUUUCCAAAAAGUCCAAGAACAUGAAUUUCUCAUGUGUGGUUGGCAAGUUAUGGAUUGAUC